AGGAACAUGGAGCUGGCUAACGCAAGGUUCAGGAGGGAUUUGCUCAAGUUCCUGAUGCAGGUUAGGUGUGCAUUUUAGUUUCCUGAAGGAGUCACAGAUGACUGGACAUGUGGCAUCCACUGGGACAUUGUCUAAAAUAUGUCAAGGCUCAAAAGAUGCAAGAUUUAUAGACAUAAUGACUUCUGCUUCCUCACCAGAUAGAAAUGAACACAUAAUGAGAAG
rnacentral:lncRNA from 1 species